CAAGUCGAGCGGAGAUGAGGUGCUUGCACCUUAUCUUAGCGGCGGACGGGUGAGUAAUGCUUAGGAAUCUGCCUAUUAGUGGGGGACAACAUUCCGAAAGGAAUGCUAAUACCGCAUACGCCCUACGGGGGAAAGCAGGGGAUCUUCGGACCUUGCGCUAAUAGAUGAGCCUAAGUCGGAUUAGCUAGUUGGUGGGGUAAAGGCCUACCAAGGCGACGAUCUGUAGCGGGUCUGAGAGGAUGAUCCGCCACACUGGGACUGAGACACGGCCCAGACUCCUACGGGAGGCAGCAGUGGGGAAUAUUGGACAAUGGGCGGAAGCCUGAUCCAGCCAUGCCGCGUGUGUGAAGAAGGCCUUUUGGUUGUAAAGCACUUUAAGCGAGGAGGAGGCUACUUAGAUUAAUACUCUAGGAUAGUGGACGUUACUCGCAGAAUAAGCACCGGCUAACUCUGUGCCAGCAGCCGCGGUAAUACAGAGGGUGCGAGCGUUAAUCGGAUUUACUGGGCGUAAAGCGUGCGUAGGCGGCUGAUUAAGUCGGAUGUGAAAUCCCUGAGCUUAACUUAGGAAUUGCAUUCGAUACUGGUCAGCUAGAGUAUGGGAGAGGAUGGUAGAAUUCCAGGUGUAGCGGUGAAUGCGUAGAGAUCUGGAGGAAUACCGAUGGCGAAGGCAGCCAUCUGGCCUAAUACUGACGCUGAGGUACGAAAGCAUGGGGAGCAAACAGGAUUAGAUACCCUGGUAGUCCAUGCCGUAAACGAUGUCUACUAGCCGUUGGGGCCUUUGAGGCUUUAGUGGCGCAGCUAACGCGAUAAGUAGACCGCCUGGGGAGUACGGUCGCAAGACUAAAACUCAAUGAAUUGACGG
rnacentral:rRNA from 1 species